GGGGGCGUAAAGGUUUCGACAGGGUUGUUCGGUGGUACGGUAAGCGUGCCGCGAUUCCGGGGACGCGUUAAAAACCCGGGCGUAAAUAUAAACGCUAAUAGAAACACUAAUCUUGUAGCGGCUUAAUUGCCGCUUCCGUCGGCCCCUGCAUACUGCGGGCAGGGGUACUGACGUCAACUUCGCAGUGAACGUCAGCGGCGUAAACUUUGCCGCCGCGAUGAUUUUAUAAAGUUACUCUGUUCCGAGGCUUGCCGGUACGUAUCGGAACGGGGGAAUCUUACAGAACCGGCUACGCACGUAGAAAACCGUAUUUCCGCUUCUUUGGACAGGGGUUCGAUUCCCCUCGCCUCCACCA
rnacentral:tmRNA from 1 species